GUAGGUGGCAAGCGUUGUCCGGAAUUAUUGGGCGUAAAGCGCGCGCAGGCGGUUCUUUAAGUCUGAUGUGAAAGCCCACGGCUCAACCGUGGAGGGUCAUUGGAAACUGGAGAACUUGAGUACAGAAGAGGAAAGCGGAAUUCCACGUGUAGCGGUGAAAUGCGUAGAGACGUGGAGGAACACCAGUGGCGAAGGCGGCUUUCUGGUCUGUAACUGACGCUGAGGCGCGAAAGCGUGGGGAGCAAACAGGGAUUAGAUACCCUGGUAGUCCACGCCGUAAACGAUGAGUGCUAAGUGUUAGGGGGUUUCCGCCCCCUUAGUGCUGCAGCUAACGCAUUAAGCACUCCGCCUGGGGAUACGGCCGCAAGGCUG
rnacentral:rRNA from 1 species